rnacentral:tmRNA from 1 species
GGGGACGAUUGGUCUCGACGGGGACAGGCUGGAGCUUGAACCUGCGAGCCGGGGAUUACGGUUACCCCGUAACAAUCCGUAGUCACUUUUAAAGUGCCGAUGAUUAUUCAUAUGCACUAGCCGCUUAAUUAAGUAGGCGGCAAGUCGCGGGUGAGGCUGGCUGUCGUCUCCCCGUAGGCUUCAUUUAGACAGUCACUCCAAUCACAGCGCCGUCGGGUGGUUGGAUGUAUCAGGCGGUUUGGUGGAGAGGCAGCGCGUCGAUUCGCGGCCCUCCAC